GACUGGUGGUCGUUAUCAAGCACACCAAGGGGGAGCGUAGGAGAAAACAGAGUGCUUCUCCUUUCAAAAGACGGAAACCAGAAAGAGCCGUGAGAGGGGGAGCGUAGGACUGUAGGAGAAACGCAAGAGAGAGAGAGAGAGAGAGCAGACCACGGAGAGCUUGGGGGAAGAUUUUUUCGUUAUUGCAACGCAAGUCUCUGGAAGAAUUACAGCUUGGCUCGUGCGGGGUCUCCCAACUAAUCUUUACUUCAGCUUCAGUGCCAGAACUGUUGCUAGAAUUAGUGAAAAGCCACGUGCUCUCAAUAAACGGCAAUGAGUCAUUGAGAAGCUGAGUUGCUCCUGAAUUUCUAUCAUAUCCUACAUAUUUGACUUGGAUGACAAAUUUUCGUGUACUUGGAUCGAUACUGGCUACUCGAUAGGUGCCACUGGGAGCCUUGAAUUUAACCUGGCCUGUGGAACUGUUGCAAUCAAGCUUGAAGUACGUGUGUUCGCCGCAAUUUGGUCCAGUGCUCAGUGGAUAGGGUAUCAAGUUUGUGCCAAGGCUCACAAUUCCUAACAGUUGAUUCUGCAAAGGUAUAUAAAAUUUGGAAUAGUAAUGAUAACAAGUUGCGUGACAUGUCAAGUACUUCUAUAAAUACCCUAGCAGCCCACGGGUGACAAGUGACUCUUUAAUGUCAUCGUCAAGAACAAAAAGAAAGAUUAGCGAUAUGAUUUUAAAAUUCCAUAUCAGCAUAGGUGUUUUCUCA